rnacentral:snoRNA from 1 species
GUGAUGAGGCCGCUGAGCAUUGACGUCGUGAAGCGAUUUCAGCCGUCUGA